UCCGAGUUGACCCCGGCAGUCUCCCGCAAGUCCCCAACCACCCCGAAGGAUGUUGCUGGCAAUACAGGACGAGGGUUGCGCUCGUUGCGGGACUUAACCCAACAUCUCACGACACGAGCUGACGACAACCAUGCACCACCUGUGCACGACCCCAAAGGAAGCCGUAUCUCUACGGCGGCACCGUGCAUGUCAAGCCCUGGUAAGGUUCUUCGCGUCGCAUCGAAUUAAGCCGCAUGCUCCGCCGCUUGUGCGGGCCCCCGUCAAUUCCUUUGAGUUUUAGCCUUGCGGUCGUACUUCCCAGGUGGAUUACUUAAUGCUUUCGCUCAGACACACACUGUGUAUCGCGUAUGUCGAGUAAUCAUCGUUUAGGGCGUGGACUAC
rnacentral:misc_RNA from 1 species